rnacentral:rRNA from 1 species
CAGGGAUUGCCCUAGUAACGGCGAGUGAAGCGGCAACAGCUCAAAUUUGAAAUCUGGCUCUCUUCGGGGGUCCGAGUUGUAAUUUGCAGAGGAUGCUUUGGCAUUGACGGCGGUCUAAGUUCCUUGGAACAGGACAUCACAGAGGGUGAGAAUCCCGUACGUGGUCGCCAGUCUUUGCCGUGUAAAGCUCCUUCGACGAGUCGAGUUGUUUGGGAAUGCAGCUCUAAAUGGGAGGUAAAUUUCUUCUAAAGCUAAAUACCGGCCAGAGACCGAUAGCGCACAAGUAGAGUGAUCGAAAGAUGAAAAGUACUUUGGAAAGAGAGUCAAAAAGCACGUGAAAUUGUUGAAAGGGAAGCGCUUGCAGCCAGACUUGCCCGCAGUUGCUCACCUAGGCUUUUGCCUGGGGCAUUCUUCUGCGGGCAGGCCAGCAUCAGUUUGGGCGGUUGGAUAAAGGCCUCUGUCACGUAUCUCCCUUCGGGGUGACCUUAUAGGGGAGGCGUAAUGCAACCAGCCCGGACUGAGGUCCGCGCAUCUGCUAGGAUGCUGGCGUAAUGGCUGUAAGCGGCCCGUCUUGAAACACGGACCAAGGAGUCUAACAUCUAUGCGAGUGUUUGGGUGUCAAGCCCGAGCGCGCAAUGAAAGUGAACGGAGGUGGGAACCCUUUGGGUGCACCAUCGACCGAUCCUGAUGUCUUCGGAUGGAUUUGAGUAAGAGCAUAGCUGUUGGGACCCGAAAGAUGGUGAACUAUGCUUGAAUAGGGUGAAGCCAGAGGAAACUCUGGUGGAGGCUCGCAGCGGUUCUGACGUGCAAAUCGAUCGUCAAAUUUGGGCAUAGGGGCGAAA